CCACGCUCUGCCUCCUGCGGGACACAGAAGCCCAGGUGCUUCAGUCUGUAAGAGAUGCCUGGGAAUGGGAAGCCAGGCGUGGUGCACGUGCCUGUAAUCCCACCUUGGGAGGCAGGAGGAUUGUUUCAAGUUCAAGGCCAGCUCGAACUACGUAGUGAGACCCUGUCUCAAAACACACACACACACACACACACACACACACACACACACGCAGAGAUAGAGAGAGACAGAGAGAGAGAGACCUGGAAAAGGGUGGAUUUUUUUUUUUAAAAGGACAAUACACAAAAGUCAACUUCCUGCCUUAAACACCUGAUGCUUAGCCCUGGAUGUCCUGCUCGAGGCUUGAGGUGGCCAGCUGCCUCCUGGGGUUGCCUGGGCUCCCUCCCUCUGACUCUGUGCCUCUAAGCCAGAGUUCACAGCAAGAGCUCCUGCCCUCCAGGGUGCUUCUUCUUUUUUUAUUUUUUUUAUUCUUAAAUUCUUUUAUUGGUACAUUUUAGGAAUAAAAUACGUUCACAUUUAUCAUUGAGUGCUUGUACCUGAACAUGAUGGAUCUUAGUUCUUAUUCUUUCCCCAUUACCUAUGUGCCCUUCACCCCCUCCACCCUUCCCUAUUUACAUAGACUUCCUUUCCAUUCUCAUAGUUUUUCUUUUCCCUUCUUUCUUUCCCCUUAUCCUCCCACCGCUCAUCAAGGAUGGAUGGAUAGAAGCCUCACCUGUGCUUCCUCGCAGAUACCAGGAACAUCCAUUUCUCCUGCUUCCUGGCUCACUGGGAUCUCAUCCUGUCACUUGUGCAGAUGAAAAGGUAAGAAGGUGGGAGAAUGGACUGAUGAAUAAAUGGAGCUGUGUGCCUCUCACAUCGGGUGUCACCACAAGGAGAGUGGUCUCUAUGAAGCUGUUUUUAGAAAAAAGCACGCUCCUCUUCACAGCCUGUCUUCUAAGGCCUCAGUGUGUUAGGCCCAGGGGACCCAAGAGAAAGACGUCAGGACCUCAGACCUCUACAUUUGAGCUAACUGAGCUCUGGACGGGGACUAUGUGCCCUUCACUCCGUGGGGCCCCACAGCGAGGGUGGUCACAAGCACUGGAACUGCACUUGCCCUUGUAGAGGAUCCCGUGAGUUUUCCUUUUCCUUUUCUACUGCAUUUUGUGUGGGUUUUGUCAAGCUGAUUUUGAACUAAAAAUAUUCACACACUGAAUACCUUUGAAGGCACAGCCAGUUCCGACACUGUCUGUACUGGAAAAUGUGUUACUGUGCCCCCUUCUCCUCCCUCCACCAAAUGUUAGCUCUCACGUUUCUUGUCAGAUUGAAUUUCAUGUUUGUUUGUUUGUUUGCUUGCUUGCUUUCUCUGGUCAUUUUUCUGUCAUCUUAUUCCAAGCUAUUGGUGUAGCUAACAGAGUCCCGAUGUGCUGUUCUUUUCACAAAAAAAUGUCACCAAUGACUGACUGCCAGUAAGGCCCACACCAUGAGGGGCUACUCUGUCUGAGAGGGUGCCUUUACCCUGAGUUAUCCAUGCAUAUGCAGCCCUUCGGCCGGGAAGGUAAGAGAGUGGGCUGAUGGGUGGAUGGGUCAAUGGAUGGAUGGACGGAUGGACAGAUGGGUGAUGGAUGCGUGCAUGGACAGAUGGACACAUGGAUGGGUGGGUGAGUGAAUGAGUGGACAGGUAGGUCAAUGGGUUGCUGGAUGAGUGAGCAGAGAAAAAUUCUUAGAGGUGGAAGGAUGUAUUUGAACUGAGUUACCACCCGUAUAUAAUUUAUCAGGUAAGAAGGUGAGGGUGAAUUUAUCAAUGGGUGGAUGGAUGGGCAGUCAGAAACUUUUCGACCUGGAAGGGACAAUGGAAGGGACAUAAAGUCAAAUGCUUCCUUUCCCUGGGAAUCACCUUAGGUAGGAGCGAUGGAGUGGACACCGAACUGUGACUUCCUGUGCUUGCACCUCGGCGUGGCUGUGGCAGCGCUAUAGCUCCUGGUUAAAGGACCGUCUCUGAGAAUUCACCUCUUCAUCUGUAAAGUCACCACACCACCGCCCUCCACCUCCUGGCUGUCCUGCCGUGAUCUCAGUGGACCAUUAACACAGUGUGUGACGUAUCAGCAAGUGCUCAACAGUGAGAGCUGUUAUACAUUUUUAUAAAUGAUUGCGAUUUACAGUUGGUUGAGGGAUUGUCCAGAGAAGUCUCAGGGAUUACCUGCAUCUCACACAGUCAGUGAGAUCAUGGGAAAUGAGGCCCCUCUCAUUCCAGGUGGCGAUUCACCACUCAGGAUGGGCUCUCUGGGUCAAGAAUAUUCAGUGGCCAAGAACCAAGGAAAACAGCCAGAGACCCAGCGGCCAAUGCUUCAAUAGUAAGGAUGGCCCAUACAUCUGGGGGCCACAGCGAGCUUCUUCCCCCACUCAACAAGUAUUUCUGGAGACAACCAUGAGCCCAGCACUGCUCUGGAUGCUGGAAUGCAACAACAGGGAGAAGCCAGAGCCCGGCAGUGAUCCGUUCUUCAUGAGAUUUGGGGGAGAGGACAAGUUAACAAAUAAAACCUGAGAAAUGUUGAAUCAUGUUAAAUGUGGAGGAAAAUAAAGAAGGCAAAGAGGAAAUAUAUAGUGUGUGUUCGUGUGUGUGUGUGUGUGUGUGUGUGCACUCGUGUGCGCUAAUGCAGUGCCAACAGUGUGAUGGAGAAAGCAUUCGAAGUGUUGUUCUCAGAUUCCGUGGGGCUUCUUUCCAGGUUCUUGGUGUCCUGAACAAGGAUUUGGACAAGACAUAUGGAAAAGGCAGUGAAUGCGUACACUUAUUGAAGGUGGAAAAGAGGUUUGCCCUACAGGACAAGAGUGGCUGCUAAAAGGCUCACUAGGACCCUGAGGAUGAGGAAAAACCAUGCCAGGUAGAAACUGUACUACUGAAAAACUUGCUUGCUACCCGGCCAUACGUGAAUGAAGGAUCAGGAUGAGGAGCAGAGUCUUUUGAUUGGCUGUGCCUCCAUGCAAAUGAAGGAUGGGAAAUAGCAACUUCUGAUUGGUCCUUCCGCCAGUGCCAGGUGCAAAUGAAGGAUUGAAAAUAGCAGUUUUCUGAUUGGUCCACAGUUUUCAGCUGUAAGCCUG
rnacentral:lncRNA from 1 species